GGACCUUCGGGUGCCGGCGAGUGGCGAACGGGUGAGUAAUGUAUCGGAACGUACCUUUCAGUGGGGGAUAACGUAGCGAAAGUUACGCUAAUACCGCAUAUUCUGUGAGCAGGAAAGCAGGGGAUCGCAAGACCUUGCGCUGAUUGAGCGGCCGAUAUCAGAUUAGCUAGUUGGUGAGGUAAAGGCUCACCAAGGCGACGAUCUGUAGCGGGUCUGAGAGGAUGAUCCGCCACACUGGAACUGAGACACGGUCCAGACUCCUACGGGAGGCAGCAGUGGGGAAUUUUGGACAAUGGGGGCAACCCUGAUCCAGCCAUGCCGCGUGAGUGAAGAAGGCCUUCGGGUUGUAAAGCUCUUUCGUCCGGGAAGAAAUCGCAUCAGCUAAUACCUGGUGUGGAUGACGGUACCGGAAUAAGAAGCACCGGCUAACUACGUGCCAGCAGCCGCGGUAAUACGUAGGGUGCGAGCGUUAAUCGGAAUUACUGGGCGUAAAGCGUGCGCAGGCGGUUUUGUAAGACAGGCGUGAAAUCCCCGGGCUCAACCUGGGAACUGCGUUUGUGACUGCAAGGCUAGAGUAU
rnacentral:rRNA from 1 species